AUUAUCAGUGAAAUGCAAAUAAAUACCACAGUGUGAUAUCACCUCACACCUGUUACAAUGGCAUUUAUUAAAAAGGUGAAAGAUAAUCAUUGGCUAGGAUGUGGAGAACAGAUAAUUCUUGAAAUAUUGUUGCAGGAG